rnacentral:rRNA from 1 species
UGCGAAGCACGACAGGUUAUCCGAGUGGUUUCUGCUAAAGGAACCUUUUGUUAGUCCUAGAAACACUAACGAAUAAGGGGUGGGCAAGUUCUGGUGUCAGCCGCCGCGGUAAAACCAGCACCUCAAGUGGUCAGGAUGAUUAUUGGGCCUAAAGCAUCCGUAGCCGGCUCUGUAAGUUUUCGGUUAAAUCUGUACGCUCAACGUACAGGCUGCCGGGAAUACUGCAGAGCUAGGGAGUGGGAGAGGUAGACGGUACUCGGGAGGAAGUGGUAAAAUGCUUUGAUCUCUCGAUGACCACCUGCGGCGAAGGCGGUCUACCAGAACACGUCCGACGGUGAGGGAUGAAAGCUGGGGAGCAAACCGGAUUAGAUACCCGGGUAGUCCCAGCUGUAAACUAUGCAAACUCAGUGAUGCAUUGGCUUGUAGCCAAUGCAGUAUUGCAGGGAAGCCGUUAAGUUUGCCGCCUGGGAAGUACGUACGCAAGUAUGAAACUUAAAGGAAUUGGCGGGGGAGCAC